rnacentral:lncRNA from 1 species
GGUCUCUAUACAUGGAUACAAAAACCUCACACUCUCUCAAUUACAAAAAGAAAGAGUAAACCAUCUAGGCAAAGUACCGCUCCUCGCUAGCUAGCUAAGCGAUCCCCUUGCCGCGAUCCCGUGCCUCCGCCGGUGCCGAAGGCUCUGAAAAGUAAACCGUAAAACAGGGGCGUGAGAACUAUUAAAAAUAGUUCCCAGUGGGCAAUUACUGACUUCAGUGAAUGCACCACGAGGCCCAAAGCUACAAAAGAUAUCAGUGAUAAUAAAAGUAGAAAGCGAAUGGUAAGUAAAAGCGUAACUGUCACGCCCUGCGACCGCCCGCCUAUUUGGCCGGGUCGCAGCGCCGCCGACAGAUCGCCGAACGGACAGAGUCUCCCCUGUACAUUCAAGGCAUCGCAAUCAAUACAAGUACAAUGAGUUCCAACCAGGAACAGUAUUCAAGCAAGAUUGCAGAAGAAAGAUAUCAACAACAUAACACAUCCUAUGUUAUUACAAGCAUUCACAUUAGAUUCAUUUUACAUCACAAUUACAUAAUACAUUCUUUUUAGCUUCCAAGUACAAUCUAGCUUUAACCAUAUUAUUACAACUUGAUUCUUUUCAUUCUUUACAUCCCUAAGUAAGGCCGACUCAGGGUACCGCUAUCUCUGGUCUCGGUGGUAAGGCGCUAACUAUGGAGCUACGCCCUCGCUUCGCGCCGCCGCGCCGCUCACGUGUGAACCUGUAAACACCCCAAAACCACGUGGGGUGAGAACCAACUCCAUGGUUCCCAGUGGGUAUGGCCACCCAAGGGAAAAGUUCGACCAAUAGGUCCAAGGGAGGCAACUGCAAGUUAGUUCAAUAAACAGAUAGAUAUAUAUCUUUAUUAUGCAACUAAUAAAACCAUGCUUUGCCUCACGAAUGCAAUAAUGCCAUGCUAUAUGCGAAUCAUGCAACUAUACAAGUAGAAUAAAUGAUUUUACUUUGUAUCAUGCUAUCCAUAGCUUUUUUCAUAAUUUAUACAUCUUAUCACUUUACAUCAUUGGUUAUUUGCUCCUAAGGUUUUUCUCUACCCUAGCCAAGCUAACCACCCGACUCGGUCUCGAGUCAAUCAACUGCGGAAUACCGCACCAAAACUAGGCUCGAGGUGAUGGACGUCUCACAUGCACCUCAGCCCUAAAUCCUCUCAACUGGGAUACCGAACCCGUAACACAUAAUGCUAUACAUUCACUUGGCUUUGACCCAAUCUUACCGGUUAACCAUGUUAACCCUAAUGACUCACAACCCAAAAUCCCUUAAUAAUGGGGGACUCGAACCUCCCUGGGGACCGUCUUCUGGGGGGACUUUACCACGCCCAGUGGUGACCAACUCCGGAGCGCACCGCCCGAGGGGGAGCUACCUCCCUCAAGCCAAGACUUAUCGUGAGUAUCGAUCAAUCCUCAACUUGAGGAUUCAUAGCCACUAGUCACAAUGCCAAUGUCACAAUAGGUUUCUACCUAUUUAAUCAUGCUACUCUAUGUCAACUUGGUCCAAUGCCACUCUUGGUUAAACUAUGUUUAACAACUAUAUCCUCUAUGCAUAUCAAUGUCUCGAUUGUCAAUGUCGCCUUUGUUUACUAAUGUCCAAGUCCAACUCUCACAUUCACACAAUAAUAGGGUUCCAACAUACAUGUCCAUUAUGGUUCUACU